CCAGCUGGUGUGAUCCACUGAGCAGAAUCCAUGCCCAGCUGGCUUUUAUUUAUUCCUGAUGAUCCUGAGGCUGCAAAGUGCUGGAACAGAAGGUCUCAGGACCUGUCAACAGGCAGGAGCACAUCCAAGAUUUCUCCUGCACAUUGAGGAUCAAUACUGCUGCCAAUUACAGCGUGGAUCUCCAGCCCCCCUUUUUGAGCUUCUUGGAGGGAAAAGCACUGCUAAACAGCAAAGUUCUCCACAAAGCUGGCAGUCCAGAGAGCUGGAAUUACAGAGUGCAGCAGAGGAAUGAGUCCUCAGAGAGCUGUCCCCAUUCUGCAUCCAGCCAAGGCUUCAGUGAGAGCAGCAGAGCUGACACGGGGCAGGCUCAGCCCCGUGGAACUGCCUGGAACAUCUUCACAGGGAGGAUUGCUCGGUGCUUGUGGUUUAAUCUGAGAAACCACACUACACUGCUUUGUUUUUUUCCAUUUUCCCUCCCCAAAAAUUCCUGUUCUCCCUCCCCUGCACUGGCUCACUCACACAGAGAAGACAACAAACAAAGCAGGGAAGUCUCCUAAUAGUUUUAUUGUUCCUUAGAUAACUGUGGAUAGUACAAAGUUUUCCUCUUAAAAAAAAAUUAAUUACCUUCACACUUCCAUAAACAAAGCUUCCCAUGGGAAUCUGCUGCCACAGAAUCUCCACGGAAGCGAUUUCCAACCACCAUAAUGCUAUGUAGAUAGAUAACAGUAAGAGAAUAUUCCUGUAAUUAUCAACAUGAAAUUGGUUACCUGUGUAUAAGGGUGAACACUGACCUUUUUUUUUUUUUUGCCUUUUUAGAAACGAAAAAACCAUCAUUUAUUAAAUCCAAACUACAUCAUUGCAUUUACAACAUUCAUUGCAUAAACUGGACAUACAAAGUUUUGCCACCUCUGGUAAAUAACAGACAUACAUUAUACAA